AGGAGCGCGGACCCAAGAUCGGCUACGCUGCGUCUGCUCAGGCUGCGAGUUCCCGGCUCUGGGGACUCACCUUGCGGAGCUUACCCAGGCGGACUCUCCGCAGCCCCUGAUGGGUGUGUGUGUCAGACCGUUUACUAAACACCAGGACUGUUGUAGGCGACUAAAAGAAAACUGAGAUCCAGGAAAGGGAAGUGAUUUUCCAAAGACACACCUGUGAAAGCAGCCGUGUUGAACCAUGAAAGGACCUCAGGAAUGAAACCCACACACAGCAAAGCAACAAAGUGAAAGAAGCGUGGAUUCCUAAUGCAGGAGGCACUGAACCAAUCAAUACCCACUGCCCUCCAGACCUCCACAUGAAAGAAAAAAACUGCUGUCCUGUGAAGAAGACACUCCCCAGAUGCCAGCAACUUGAUAUUGGACUUCCUGCCUUUAGAAACAUUCCUUUAAGCCUCUCUGAAACUUGACCCUCUGGCAGGAACAGGUGCCAUUACAUACAGACACUCUCUCUCUUCCAAAUUCACCCUGUCAUAUCAAAGGGAAAACUGAAGUGGUCCACUGUAGACCUGACAGAUGAUCACAAACAGGAAACCAGCAAUCAGAAGUGCCUACUGAGCUCCCUACCCUGACCAUCACCUACAGCUACAUUUUACAGAUACAAAAUCAUUGUUUGUUCAACUUUCAUAUCAAAGGAUGCUAUUAGUUCAUUUCCAAAGGUGGGAAAAUGUUUCAACUUACUUUAUUACUUGUCUGCUACUUACUAUUUUCCCUCCGUUUGCCUGCCUGACUUCUUUUAACUCUUCACUCAACAAAUAUCUACUGACUACUGAGCACUUGCCAAGUGCUAGGCCAGAGCUGGAUGCUGUACUACGGGCAGAUGAAGUGCUAUGGGCAUCCAGAGGUGGAAGAAGAGGGUAUAGCGAAAGGGGAGAAAAGGCUGCAACAAUAUUCACUGAGCCCUGUGCUCCCAGGUCAUCACAUAGACUAUGUCAUUAUUCCUCCUAACCACCCACAUGAGUAAAUAGGGGCUAUUACUGAAGAAACAGAGGCUUACAAAGGUUGAGCAACUUGCCCAAGGUCAUCUAUCACAAGACACUACAAGUCAGACUGCUGAAGAGGGAGUUUCUGCUGAGAAGCUGAAGUGGGCAGCUCAUAUUGGAUAUGAAGGCUUCAAAGGAAUCUAAAUCCUAAUGAUCCCUCUAGAGCCAACAUGCAGCACCAGUUUUCUCUUCCACAUUUGAACUGCUCAUCCACUUCCGGCUCCAAGACCUCACUCUCCAUCUAAACUAGUCCCACGCCAUCCAUAUCUUUCUCCACUAACGCCACCCAAUCACAACCCCACAGCCUCUUAGUCAUGAGUCAUUUUUUAAAAACUGCAAACCAUGUAAUGAGCCAUGGCAAUAUGCAACCCUAAACCUCAACACGUGUUUUCCACAACAAGGCCACAGGUGGCAGAAGCGAGCCUAAGGCCGUAGGACACUAAGGCAGGACUCUCUGGCUUGAGCUUUCCAAAAAGGGAGGUGAGAGAAGGUCUACCUGCGGGAAGUCAUGCUGAAGGCCUGAGGCUGAGUCAAAGAAGGAGCCCCCUGGAGGCUCUGCAGUUCCUGGACUUCAGGUAGAGGAACUCUGCCAUGAACACCUCUGGAAUCGUGUCAUUUUGGGACAAUUAGAGAAUAUCAGUUUUCAGACUGAGUUCUAUGGGAAGGUGCCUGCACAACAAAGGAGAGACGGAAUGGACUUCAGGUCUUCCAAAAUACCCCUCAUGUUCACCAAGUUGCUCUCUGCUCUAAGAUACCAGAUGAGGGGGCCAGUGGGGACUGAAACCCAGUCCCCAGUCUGCUGGCCAAUCCCUUUGCCUGUGAGGCUGCUCUGUCCUACCAGAGAGGGCACUUUUCAUAAUUUGCACCAAGUACAGAAUAGGAUAGUGUAGCUUUACCCUUCUCCCUACCAUCAACCACAGACACAUCAACACAUGCACACAUACAGCCACACAAAUAUACCUACAGGCAUACACAUACAACACAGGCACAUACAUGUUUGCACAAAGUCACAUGUAGACACAAACGCAGAGCACACAGACACAAACACAGGCACAAACCCAUACUUACACUACACACACACACAAACACACACAGACACACAAAUGCAAAUUAAGCCACAAUGUAGCACAUAGAGAUAUAGACACAGACGCAAAUACAGUCACAUAGAGAUAUAGACACACACUUAUACACACAUAUAUGUAAAUAUACAGUCUCAUUCACUUUAUACCACACAUGUAUAAACAUACACAAUUGUAUGUAGACACACAUACACAUAGGUACUCAGACCGCAUAGAUACAUAUGUACACACAUACAAAUAUAUGCACAUACACAGAUAUAUAUAUACACACAUGCAUCUUUAACCAGAACAACUUUACUUUUGUCAGUUUUAUAUGACAGAGUCUUUAAAAAAAGAUUUCAUCUGGCUUGUGUUCUACUAUUAAAAGA
rnacentral:lncRNA from 1 species